ACCCUAUUGAAAAGGCGCAGGCGGCAGCUCGGGGCUGCACUCGGGGCCGGCGGCUGCAGCUCGUUGGCACCUUCCCCCUCCCUUAAUUGCUCCUCAGCCAACUCCAUGUGAGCCCGGCCGGGUACAAAUAGCCCCGCGCCGCGUUCCCCCCCACACCGCGCACCUCGCCCACGCCGCACUCCCGUUCAGUUGGGCGGUGGCCAGCCCGCCCCGCACCCUCCCGGGCAGCACCAGGGCACCCAGCCUGGACACCAUCUCCGCACCUAGCUGCACCCCGGAGCCUUUUGUUUGUUGGUCACCCACAGGCACCAUUUCCAAGCCCAGCCCAGGACCGCAGCUCCCCCGAAAGCCUCCUGCCCCCAAGAGAGCCAAGCCCGGGGGAAGCCCUGCGAUCCCUGGACAAAGAAGCUACAAAGAACCCAGGACCGUCCACUCAGCCCCCUGCACCCCCGCCAUGAGCAACCUCAACAAGGAGAGUGAGCACAGUAACAGCAGCAACAACAUCGAGGAGGAGGUACGGACACUCUUUGUCAGUGGCCUUCCUGUGGACAUCAAACCCAGAGAACUCUACUUGCUCUUCCGACCGUUCAAGGGCUAUGAAGGGUCACUGAUCAAACUAACAUCAAAACAGCCAGUUGGUUUCGUUACCUUUGAUAGCCGAGCUGGUGCUGAAGCAGCAAAGAAUGCCUUAAAUGGCAUCCGCUUCGACCCAGAGAACCCCCAGACCUUGCGGUUGGAGUUUGCCAAAGCCAACACCAAGAUGGCAAAAAGCAAGCUGAUGGCCACACCGAACCCCACCAACAUCCACCCUGCCCUGGGCGCACACUUCAUCGCACGGGACCCCUAUGACCUGGCUGGAGCAGCUCUUAUUCCGGCAUCUCCAGAGGCAUGGGCUCCCUACCCACUGUACACCACAGAGCUAACCCCUGCCAUCCCCCAUGCCGCGUUCACAUACCCAGCUGCUGCUGCCGCCGCUGCUGCCCUUCACGCUCAGGGCUGGUCUGUCUAGAGUUCCUCUUAGAUGCCCUACAGGAAGCAGUAUUCAUUAGAGUGAACGCCAGCCAUGAUGCCAGCGCAGGCUAGCCCUGAAGCUCAGAGCUGUCCCUGGAGAUGGGACACCCUAGUGAUGCCUAAUUGCCGCUAGUGGAGUGGCUGUCCUACAGCUUCAUUCCUAAGCAUGAUGGCCCCCACGUCUGGAAAGACUGAUGCGCUGGUAUCCUCCCUCCGAAGCUACCCAGCAAGGAUGGAAGUCUCGUCAGUUUUGUUAGUUCUUCAAGUGUCUAUUCUUGGCUUGUUCCCUUCUUUGUCUCUCCAUGGAACGAUGUGCCAGGGAUGAAGUAAUGGAUCCAUCAAAAUCCAUUUUGGUUUGUGGACACUCCGCAGUAACCUCACAUUUCUCCUGGUAUGGAGUUGUGGGCUUCCCUGUUAGACUGUGAAUAUAUCCAUACCCACCCAGCUCAGUGGACUGCAUUCUGCCUGUCCUCUCCCCUGCUUCCCCUCCCAACAGAUUCCCAGACUGAGUUUCUCCUUCCUGUGCCACUGAAGCCUAGAUGGAGGGACUCAAUCCUGGUGGUAACAGACGGGUUCAUCCCUACCAAGACACUGGUGCCAAAUGAGGCCUAGCUGUACAGAGCAAUACCCAGGCUGCCUUGCCCUCAACUUUAUGCAGCUCUGCUGAAGGAAAUGAAAGACAAUCAGUUUUGCAUGUUUUCUGGCAUGAAUUUAAAACACUUAACUUUGUGUAUGUGUGAGUGUGUAAGUUUGUUCUAGCAUUUGUGUAACUGUAGCAACAGGUCUUGGCCUAACUCUUGAUCUAGCAAGGUUCUUCAUCUUGCUUCUGUGAAGACUUGGCUUUCAAAAAUACUAUCCUUGUCUCACCCCUACUUGUCCACCUCCCCAGCCCUGCAUUCUCCAGUCUGACCAGAAGAUUUGAAAAAUGUUUGUUUAGAGUACAAUGCACUGGGUUUCUUUUCUUGUCCGGUCUCUUCUCUUGUUUUUAAAGUCAGGGUUAUCUUUUUUUCCCCUCAGACUUUAUAUAGAACAGCUGUAAAAUAUCUAACUUUUUUCUUCCCUCCCCUGCCCCCCCAUCCUUCUGAUUGGAGAGAUUCCAGUGUUGCCAAAUCAGCUAUCCUUAUGGGAGUUCAGAACAAAAAGUACGAGUAUUUUUGUACCAUCUGUAAUAAGGAAAUAUUUAUGCAUCAUAAAGAAUUUUUGUGUGUUUUUUCGUGUGCAAUUAAAGAGAAACUGUAAUCCGGUAAGAUAAGUUAAUGUUUAGUUAAAAGCUUGAAAGAAAAGUUUUUUUCUGUAACAAUGAUUCCGUCAGGCGUAGUAAAUGAGAAACUGUGCAAUUUUUGUUUUUUUAUUUUAGCAUCUUAUUGCUUGGUAUUGAAGUGCUUAAGUAUUCUAUACAACCAUGGCUGUCUUGCUUGUAUUAAGACUUCUGAGAAUAAGUUGCUAUAGAAUUGCUGAUCCUAUGAGAAUGUGAAACUGGAUAAUAUAUGAAAUGCAAAAAAUAUA